rnacentral:rRNA from 1 species
AAAACUAGAGCUAAUACAUGCCAAGACCGCAAGGUUGUAUUUAUUAGAUAUACCAAAGUGGGUGAAUCAUAAUAACUUCGCAAAUCGCGGCCAUGCCGCGAUAAAUCAUUCAAGUUUCUGCCCUAUCAUGCUUUCGAUGGUAGUGUAUUGGACUACCAUGGCUCUCACGGGUAACGGGGAAUUAGGGUUCGAUUCCGGAGAAGGAGCCUGAGAAACGGCUACUACAUCUAAGGAAGGCAGCAGGCGCGUAAAUUACCCAAUCCUGACUCAGGGAGGUAGUGACAAGAUAUAACGACGCGACUAAAAAUCGCGAUUGUAGUGAGGGUAUUCCAAACCGAACCACUAGUACGAUUGGAGGGCAAGUCUGGUGCCAGCAGCCGCGGUAAUUCCAGCUCCAAUAGCGUAUAUUAAAGUUGUUGCAGUUAAAAAGCUCGUAGUUGGAUUUCAAGAGACGCAACGUGGACAACACGUCUGCUCUCUACCAGUCUUUGACUGUUACUGUGAGAAAAUUAGAGUGUUUCAAGCAGGCUAUUGCAGGAAUACAUUAGCAUGGAAUAACGAAUGUGUCUAGAAUCUUGGUUAAUUCUAGAUUACGAUUAAUAGGGACAGUUGGGGGCAUUAGUAUUUAAUUGUCAGAGGUGAAAUUCUUGGAUUUGUUAAAGACUAACGUAUGCGAAAGCAUUUG